rnacentral:tRNA from 1 species
AAGAGACAAUUAAUGAACUGCUAACUCAUUUAUCCGUAAAUAAACCUACGGGCCUCUUA